CCUACGGGGGGCAGCAGUGAGGAAUCUUGGACAAUGGGGGCAACCCUGAUCCAGCGACGCCGCGUGAAGGAUGAAGGUCUUCGGAUUGUAAACUUCUUUUAUUUGGGAAUAAAAAAUCCUUAGAAAUAAGGAGAUUGAAGGUACCAAAUGAAUAAGCCACGGCUAACUUCGUGCCAGCAGCCGCGGUAAUACGAAGGUGGCAAGCGUUACUCGGAAUUACUAGGCGUAAAGGGCAGGUAGGUGGUUCGGUAAGUCUGUUGUGUAAGCUCCCGGCUUAACUGGGAGAGGUCAACGGAAACUACCGGACUUGAGUAUAGGAGAGGUUACUGGAAUUCCCGGUGUAGCGGUGAAAUGCGCAGAGAUCGGGAGGAACACCAAUGGCGAAGGCAGGUAACUGGACUAUUACUGACACUCAGCUGCGAAAGCUAGGGGAGCAAACAGGAUUAGAUACCCAAGUAGUCC
rnacentral:rRNA from 1 species